rnacentral:lncRNA from 1 species
AGGAUUUGGCUUGAGCUCCUCUGCAGGAAUUAGUUUGUGCCAGUGGAAGUAAAUAGGCCCUUGGGGAUGCUGCUGCUGCCACUGAGCCUUCUUCUGUUUGCUGAUUCCCAUACAUGCCGAGCCCACAGAGUGCCUCCCCAGACUGUUACUUACUCCUUGAGAAGCACACAUCUGCCUGGCCAGAUAAGAACCUGUCACUACAGCAGGUUUCACGCCAGGGCAGUUUUCCCAAACCAGUGCUCUUCCACAGGUCACUGGCUUACUUCAGGACUCCCCUUCACCCUCCAGCAUCAACUACAGCUCCUGCUUAAAUGGUAAGACCCUAAGCAUGUUCUUAGAGGUCCAUAAAGCAAAGCCA